GACGAACACUGGCGGCGCGCUUAACACAUGCAAGUCGAACGGAAAGGCCUGCUUUCCCUUGUGGAUUGCGGGUACUCGAGUGGCGAACGGGUGAGUAACACGUGAGUGAUCUGCCCCCAACUUGGGUAUAAGCCUGGGAAACUGGGUCUAAUUCCCGAUAGGACUGCAGGGUGGUGCCUGUGGUGGAAAACGAUUUUCUAGUGGUUGGGGAUGAGCUCGCGGCCUAUCAGCUUGUUGGUGGGGUAGUGGCCUACCAAGGCGGCGACGGGUAGCCGGCCUGAGAGGGUGGACGGCCACAUUGGGACUGAGAUACGGCCCAGACUCCUACGGGAGGCAGCAGUGGGGAAUAUUGCACAAUGGGCGGAAGCCUGAUGCAGCGACGCCGCGUGGGGGAUGACGGCCUUCGGGUUGUAAACUCCUUUCGACCGCGAGGAAGCCACCUGGUUGGAAGGGUGGUGACGGUAGUGGUAGAAGAAGCACCGGCUAACUACGUG
rnacentral:rRNA from 1 species